GCACAACACUUCGGAUGACUGAUCUCGAAAGAAGGCGGAGCUUGACCUCCGAUGAGGUCCGAUUCCGUGGUGGUACCCUUGAAGUAAAGUUCGAUGGUCAGACCGCGGGUGAUUCUGGCUUGGGUAAAGGAAACUUGUACAGACACUGACAUGCCCCAAUCAAACAGACCCUUUAGCUCCGCCCUUUCGACGAGGGCUUCCUGAGGAUGAGAAAUUAUUACAAGAUUGCAAAUAUUAUUUUGUAUCUUAUUUUCCCUGUAUUGCAUUUUUUUUUAAUCUAAAACAACUUUAUAGCCUUGUUUUGCUGUA